UACGUAUGGUGCAAGCGUUAUCCGGAUUUACUGGGUGUAAAGGGAGCGUAGACGGCUUAGCAAGUCCGAUGUGAAAGCUAUGGGCUCAAUCCAUAAACUGCAUUGGAAACUGUUCAGCUGGAGUGUCGGAGAGGUAAGCGGGAUUCCUAGUGUAGCGGUGAAAUGCGUAGAUAUUAGGAGGAACACCGGUGGCGAAGGCGGCUUACUGGACGAUAACUGACGUUGAGGCUCGAAAGCGUGGGGAGCAAAC
rnacentral:rRNA from 1 species